GGCCGCGUGGCGCCCGCGCCGGCCUUCCUGCAGGGGACUCCACCGGAGCCUUGCCAAUUCCGUUUGUUUCCCUGUUGUCGCCCGCUUCACCCUGGAUCAUGUUCAAGAAGUUUGAUGAAAAGGAAAGUGUGUCCAACUGCAUCCAGUUGAAAACGUCAGUUAUUAAGGGCAUUAAGAGCCAACUGGUAGAGCAAUUUCCAGGGCCCCCCACAAAAGCAGCCUCGGGGACUCCGGCCUUUCCUUGAGACCUGCAUCUCUUCCCUUCUUCAUCGCCUGCUAGUGAACUGAGACUGCCGCUAACCUUCUUCAUCCUUUGGUGGCAAAGUAGAAAGAUUCCAGAAUUAACUCGACCUUUCUAAAGACCUGGGCUCAGUGGCAGCUGGCACUGACUGAGCACCCGCUAUGUGCCAGGCACUGUGCUGAAUGCAUUGUAAGGACUGUCUUACUUAUUCCCCCACAGCAGCCCUAAGAAGGGGUGCUGUUAUCCCCUUUUUACAGAUAAGAAAACUGAAGCUCAGAGAGGGCACUGCCUUCCCCAAGGUCACCCAGCUACAAGUAACAAAGCCUGUGCUUCUAACACCAAAGACCACUUCCCGCUGAUACUGUGCCAGGCUUGUAAGUCUCUCUCUGGGCCUCCAUUCCCUCCUGUAGGAAAUUGGAGGGGUUGGGGUGGCUCCAGUGAGCUCUCCCCUUCUGAAACUCAUACUAAUCUGGGGCAGCCAAGGCUUAGCCCCGCCAGCCUGUGAACCUCUCACAGUGCCCACAGCCAUGCCCUCCUCCGUCCAGGGGCUGACAGGUGGGAGGGGUAGCCCUGCCUCAAGGAGUGGACUUACCUGGCCUCUCUGCUCAGAGAUC
rnacentral:sRNA from 1 species